AUGGUUGCUUUUUCUUCUCCCAAAGGCACGGGGCAGUGCCAUCUCCAGACCGGAUGGGCAGGCUCUGCAGCACCAACGUUUCCAUGCAGUCGCUGUCAAACGUGGGCAUCCCCAGUUCUGCUCAUCAUAACCUUCCAGGCCACCAAGGAGACGCAAGGCUCCAGCAGGGACCUGCCAGCCUUGUGUGAUGAACUGCCACUUGCCAGGACUCACACUGAGCUCCUCGGGAUGCUGAGGUGCUGGGUGCAGGAGGUGCUGGGAGCGAUGGGCCGGCUGGAUGACCAUGCCAAGAGGAGGAUUGUGGAGCUGCGCAGGGCUGGGCUGAGCUUCCGCAAGAUCAAGAAGGUGCUGGAGCUGGACGACAUCCAGGUGACGCCGCAGGCUGUGUACCUCUUCCUCAAGCGUAAGAGCGUGGAGCCGGGGCCGGUGGCAGCUGGCUGGGAUGGGGACCAGCCCUGGCCACCACUGCCAGGGAAUGAGGCUGAGCCACCCGAGCUGCUAGGUGCCCGGCCCCCCACAAUGCCUGGUGGGGUCCCUGCGGGCAGCCGGGUGCCCUGCCCUGCUGGUGGCCAGGACACUAAGGAGGGCAUCCAAAUUGUCAGCGUGGCCUCACUGUGCAAGGACGGCAGGCAGCUCAGGGAGAACCUGCCUGUGGGACUGCCCCCCAGGAACGAUGAUGACAGCUCUGCAGGUUCUCCCUUGGCUCCAGGGAGCUGCCACCCUCUGGGGAUGCCAGCCACCCCCCCACAGUCCCUGCCCAGCCCAGGGCGGCUGGUUGCACCCCCUGCCAGGAACCCAGCCCUGAUGGUGAAGAAGAAGAUGGUGGACAGGGCUAUCCUCCUGCAGAAAACGGUCACAGAUGCCAGCACUCAAACUGCCCUGCUGAACCCGGCAAGUCCUGGAAAUCAAAGCAUUGCUUGGGCAGGACCAGUACUUCCCCCUGCUCCCAGCUCCAUUGCUGAAAAGCUGGAUGCUGUACAGAUGGAGGUCCAGAAGCUGAGCCAGGCCCUGCAGGCAGUGCUGGAGCGGCAAUGCCGCUUGGAGCGGCAGCAGGAGCACCAGCAACGGCUGCAGCAGGAGGUGCUGAUGACACUGCAGCAGCUCAGCUCCACUGUGAGCCACAGCAUAGUGCCAGCUAACCAGCCCUGUGUCCCCUUCAGUAGUAUGGCUGAGCCCUCGCCCACUGUGCCAAGCUUCAGCCAGUUCAAGAUGGAGCUCAUCUGACCUCACCUGAUGCCAGUACGCUCCAGCAGUGCUGCACUGGUGGCAGGAUGAAGUCAUGAAGAAGAACCCCCUCUCAGAGGCUGUGGCAGCUGCCUAAAGAUUAUGUGGAGCACCCAGCAGAGAAGGUCACUGGUGUCUCAUGUUUUCAGCCCUGUUGACUGAAAAGAAAGAGCUGCCUGGGACAAGGGGCAGGGCAAUGGAAAGCUGAGGCCUUGCUUCUCCCAUGCUGACCAUCCUGGCUGACACUGGAGCUGGCUGGUGGCAGGCUGCCUGCAAGUAGAAGAUACAACUAAGAGAGACACAGUAGGGAGGUGGGUCUCAAAGAAAAUGUGAGGCUUCCUCUCACGUGGGUCAGUGCCAUGACAAUGAAUCGCAGAAAUGCUUUGUGCCCUCUCUCCACAAAGUUCAGUAAAAAUCUCCAUACACCAUGGUUCAGAAACUGUGGGGUCUCAUUCUUCAUCUUACCUACCCCUUACCCCACCAGCGAA
ensembl:lncRNA